UACAGAGGUCUCGAGCGUUAGGCGGAAUCACUGGGCUUAAAGCGUGUGUAGGCGGAUUGCUAAGUACCUUGUGAAAUCCCACGGCUUAACCGUGGAACUGCUUGGUAUACUGGCUGUCUUGAGCCACUUAGGGGCAACCGGAACAAACGGUGGAGCGGUGAAAUGCGUAGAUAUCGGAAGGAACACCGGUGGCGAAAGCGGCGCGCUGGAUCUCUUCUGACGCUGAGGCGCGAAAGCCAGGGGAGCGAACGGG
rnacentral:rRNA from 1 species